UUUAGGCAAAUGAUUGCUAGUUGCUUGGUUAAAGAUCCUUCAAAAAGGGCCUCAGCCAAAAAGUUGUUGAAGCAUCCUUUCUUUAAACAAGCUAGGUCCAAUGAUUAUAUAGCAAGAACAUUGUUGGAAGGCUUGCCAGCUCUUGGUGAUCGCAUGAAAAAAUUGAAGAGAAAAGAAGAAGACAUGCUAGCACAAAAGAAGAUACCAGAAGGCCAGAAAGAAAAAAUGUCACAGGUUGCUGCGCCAUAACCAUAGCCACAUCACUAGUAAAUGAGUGGUUUACUUCCCCUCUUCUAGGGAUUAAAGGGAAGACCAAAUGGUGGAUUGAUGAAAAUAAGACUAAAAGAUGACUAUGGGGAGAUUUGAGGAGAAGGACAAAGGCAUUAACCACUUGACAUGAAUGUCUUUUUUGGUUGCGUGACUCCACUAAUUAGAAGGCUAGAAGAGGGGGAGAUGGAUAAGAAGAAAAGAAAAGGGCUGCUAACUCUGUCAAAAAUUGCAGGGUUAAUAAUGCCUCCAAAUGUACUUUUGUUCUUUGGUUUGUUAUUUUUUUUUUUUUUUAUUAUUUUUUUUUUUUGUAGGAUAGAGUUGUAGGGGAAGUGUUUUUACUUAUUUGUUACUUCUAAAUUAGUGGAAUGUAAAUUUUAUUAGAGAUUUUUGGGUUCAUGAUGUAUUUGAAGAAAUCGUCACAAACCAUGAUCUUGAUUCAAUUCCUUGGGAACAACUGCAAAUUGGAGUCAGUACACAGUUUUGCCAUAGUAAAGCAAUUGACCAUAUAUAUACAGAGUAGAAAGAAGACAUUCAUCCAACAAUUGCGUAGUUGUAAAAUCGUAGCAGUAAAAAAUUGGUGAACAUGAUACACCAACCUAUCAUUCAAAUAUCCUUAAAACUUUUCGUAAUUAUGCUUUCCGAACGAUAUAUACCUCUAUCAGAUCUAUGCUUCUGCUCUAUUAUUCUUCCUAGAGUACCCCGUCUAUUUUUUUAAUUGAUUUUUUUGA